rnacentral:snoRNA from 1 species
GACCAUUAAAAAAUGCACAUUAUGCUAGUAAUCCACUAAGCCAUCAAGAAAGGACAGAGUGAAAACAUUGCUUUUGGGUGAAGUGGCAACAUAUUAUGUUGUUUGCUUCAAUCAGUUUUGUGACAAGA